rnacentral:sRNA from 1 species
AGUGCUCUUUCAGCCAGACACUUAGAGAAGAAUAAAAGCAAAUAUGGAAAAUCUUACAGCUUAAGGGUUGCUCCAAGCCCCAGGUGCUGGGCUGGAGGCUCCAGGAGCAUUUGGUCAGAGAGGUAGGCCUGGGGAAUCAGGCUGUGGAGAGGCUUGCAGAGACCAGCUGCCAUGGAGGGUGACACUGUUUGCCUAUUCGGACCUGCUGCUCUUCACCAAGGAGGAUGAGCCUGGCCGCUGCGACGUCCUGAGGAACCCUCUCUACCUCCAGAGUGUGAAGCUGCAGGAAGGUUCUUCAGAAGACCUGAAAUUCUGCGUGCUCUAUCUAGCAGAGAAGGCAGAGUGCUUAUUCACUUUGGAAGCGCACUCGCAGGAGCAGAAGAAGAGAGUGUGCUGGUGCCUGUCAGAGAACAUCGCCAAGCAGCAACAGCUGGCCGCGUCGCCCCCGGACAGCAAG